ensembl:lncRNA
AAAGGAUCAUGUGACACUGAAGUCUGGAGUAAGGAUGCCAUCAAAGGAAUUAAUUACAUUUUAAGACACAUUAAAACAGACAUUUUACAUUAUAAUAUUUCAAAAAAAAAUUUUUUUUUCAUCAAUGCUUUUGUUGUUAAAGCAGAGGCUGAACAGACCCCAGAACCUGUGGAUGCAACACUGGAAGUUGGGGCAGCAACUACCAUUGUAGAGGCAGUAGCAGCUGAUGCUGAGGAACCUACUGCACCUGUUGUUGAGGAUGUUGCUGCUGAGGCUGCUUCUCCCAGUGCCGAGACAACCGGUGCGGCGUCUUCUGCUGAGGAAGCAGUCUGAAUCCCCAGCAGUCUAGAUAUGUGAUUCUUCCCAACCCACCUCGGAACGCUGCAUUAACUUUUAGAGACUCCCAUUUGUGUGCUCCUUUUAACUGAUUGACUGUGUCCUCUGCACAAAAAAGAAGUGUCCCUUCUGAACUCCACAGGGUGCUAAUCCCACAGUUGAGGAGGAGAAGAGGUUAAGGAAGUCCAAAAAUCAGUGGCAACACUUUUAAAUUCCAAACGGCGGUUUUAUCAUCCCAGUCUGUGUUUUGAUGCUUGAAUAUCUAAUGUAAAUAUGAUUUUUUCUUUUUUUUCUUUUACAUCUCCUCCUUCACAUCUAGUGGAUAUGCCUGCUGUAAUACUUGUUGCUGUGUCCCUGCAGUAUAACAUAUUGUGUCUCAUAGGUGUGCAGGGAGACAUUUUUCUUAAAUAGCUUAAUAUUGACAGUGACUUUUUACAAUAACUGUAAUUUUAACUUGAAAAAGGAAGUUUAUCGAGACAAAUUUUAAAUGAUGGCUUGACAAAACCUUGUUGUGUAGAACUUGACAAAGUUUAAUUUCAGCCUUAUUGACAGAAACAAACAUAGAUCUGUUUGAAAUGUCACAUAUAAACCAUCUUUAGCCGCUUUAGGUAAAUAACUAGAAGAAAAACAAAUUGCAAUAAACAGAUAAAUGAUAUAAAAUAAAUGAAUAGUCAUAAAAUAAAUUAAAAUAAUAUGAUAAUGGACUGUUUUGUACAGCUAAAAUAACUAGAAAUGGCUGACACCGGAAGCAUAAUUGGUUAAAAACAUGACAUGAAUAUUUCCUUUAUAUAUAAUUCUUCUCAUAGGGUAGAAGAACACUUGAUUGACUUUAAGGUGGCCGAGAUUUCGAUUCUGAAUUUUGCCCAAUCCUGCUCAAAUGUGUCUUACAUGUUUUUGGAGGAGCCUUUCUGCACAUGCAUUCCAAAAUCACUGUGGCCUAAUAAGCAACUCUUUCAUCAAAGGAGAUUACUUUUUUAUGAUUUGCCAUAGUUUUUCUACCUGUGAAUUUCCUCUCUCAGUUAUUGGGAUGGAGGACAUCCACUGUGCCUUUUACUUUUUUAUUAUUAUCUUAAAUAUCUCUUAAAAUUUGAACUAUCACGGAAACAUAAUGCCAGUGUUACUUAAAUGUCAUGGCACUGGAGACAUUUGCUCUUAAUCUUGAUGCUGUUUUUCACUGUUGAUGCUGUUUUCUGAGGCUCAACCAACUAAGAACUGAAGUUGAUUGCAGUUUUCAAAACUGACAAAAUAUUUGUAUUCCUUAAAUAAAGUUUUUAAAAUAUGAUUUUUGAGUCUGAAUUCAGUGCUGUAUUCAUUGCAAUUUUUGAUUCCUUUACGUCAUGAACUGUAAAUGAGAUAUAUAAUCAAAUCAUCAAUAUUUCUGUAUAUUGUGUACACUUGUAGAAUAGCACCAUAUUGUGUAUGAUCCUUUGCUUGGUUUUGAUCAUCCGCUUUAAAUGUUUCUACAUUCCUGUAAAUACAGUUAAAACACACUUCCUUGUUUAUGUUGGCAAAUUAGCUCUUAAAAUCCAUUUUUGUAAUGACUAAGCAUCUCUUGCAGUUAAUCUGAGUAAAUCUCACUAAUGUGUGUUGAUUGUUUCAUCACUAAUCUAAGUGGUUUAUGCCACUUAUGGGGGCUUAAGGAGAUUUCCCAAUGGCACCACCUUCAAAUCUAGCUUUAACCCUUGUGUGGUGUUCAUAUUUUUGUUAUUCAGACAGUGUUCGUGGGUCUGGUGGACCCACUGCAUUUCUGGGUUUUCAGUUCAACACAAUCAAAAAUGUUAUGUUAAAAUACUCAACAGAUGUUUACUUCAUCCCAAUUACAAGCAAUAUAAACAGCAUAUUAAUAUUUGCCUUUUACCUUUGUUAGAUCACAUUUAUGAAUUAAAGUUCUACAAACUUGUGCAGGAAAAGCAGGGGCAGAAACACAAAACUCACACUUACACUUUU